UACGAAGGGGGGCUAGCGUUGCUCGGAAUCACUGGGCGUAAAGCGCACGUAGGCGGAUCUUUAAGUCAGGGGUGAAAUCCCAGGCUCAACCUUGGAACUGCCUUUGAUACUGGGGGAUCUCGAGUCCGGAAGAGGUUGGUGGAACUGCGAGUGUAGAGGUGAAAUUCGUAGAUAUUCGCAAGAACACCAGUGGCGAAGGCGGCCAACUGGUCCGGUACUGACGCUGAGGUGCGAAAGCGUGGGGAGCAAACAGG
rnacentral:rRNA from 1 species